CCCCUAGAUGUUCUGGGCCGCACGCGCGCUACACUGAACAGUUCAACAAGUCUUAACCUUGGCCGAUAGGUCUGGGUAAUCUUUGAACGCUGUUCGUGAUUGGGAUAGACCUUUGCAAUUAUGGGUCUUCAACGAGGAAUUCCUAGUAAACGCAAGUCAUCAGCUUGCAUUGAUUACGUCCCUGCCCUUUGUACACACCGCCCGUCGCACCUACCGAUUGAAUGGUCCGGUGAAAUCUCGGGACGGCGGCUUGGUCGCUUGCGUCCGACUGCUGAACCUUGAUUAAACCAUAUCAUUUAGAGGAAGGUGAANUCGUAACA
rnacentral:rRNA from 1 species